rnacentral:rRNA from 1 species
UACGGAGGAUGCAAGCGUUAUCCGGAAUGAUUGGGCGUAAAGCGUCCGCAGGUGGCUAUGUAAGUCUGCUGUUAAAGAGUGAGGCUCAACCUCAUAAAAGCAGUGGAAACUACAUGGCUAGAGUGCGUUCGGGGCAGAGGGAAUUCCUGGUGUAGCGGUGAAAUGCGUAGAUAUCAAGAGGAACACCUGAGGCGAAGGCGGGUUGCUAGGCUGACACUGACGCUGAGGCGCGAAAGCUAGGGUAGCAAACGGG